rnacentral:tRNA from 1 species
GCCCAGGUAGCUCAGCAUGGUCAGAGCGCCGUCUUGAUAAGGCGAGGGUCGCUGGUUCAAAUCCAGCCCUGGGUACCA